rnacentral:rRNA from 1 species
ACAGGUGGUGCAUGGUUGUCGUCAGCUCGUGUCGUGAGAUGUUGGGUUAAGUCCCGCAACGAGCGCAACCCCUGUGGUUAGUUGCCAUCAUUUAGUUGGGCACUCUAAGCAGACUGCCGUGGAUAACACGGAGGAAGGUGGGGAUGACGUCAAAUCAUCAUGCCCCUUAUGACCUGGGCUACACACGUGCUACAAUGGUCUGAACAGAGGGCUGCGAAACCGCAAGGUGAAGCCAAUCCCUUAAAACAGAUCUCAGUUCGGAUUGCAGGCUGAAACUCGCCUGCAUGAAGUUGGAGUUGCUAGUAAUCGCGGAUCAGAAUGCCGCGGUGAAUGCGUUCCCGGGUCUUGUACACACCGCCCGUCACACCACGAGAGUUGGCAACACCCGAGGUCAGUGAGACAACCGUAAGGAGUCAGCUGCCGAAGGUGGGGUCGGUAAUUGGGGUGAAGUCGUAACAAGGUAGCCGUAUCGGAAGGUGC